GGACCAGCCAGGGAGACUUUCUGUCGUGAAGGAAAAAAAUCCCAAACAGUUAUAACAUCGAAAGCAGGAGGUAACACUGAAAGUCUGAACAUAAACUUCAGUUGCAGCAGCCACUACCAGGAACGAGACAGAGAUACAGAGCUACUGGGUUAAGGAUGCUGAGUUGAUACCUGCUUUGGGAGCAGAUUGCAGUGUUGUUAAAGGGAAGAGCGUUUUUCUUCACGCCCGAUUCCGCUGACAUCACUGUGAACAAAACCGUUGCAAUCUGGACUCUGCCUGACAAAAUUGGCCUCAUAGUGAACGGCCUUUACACCCUUUUUGGAAUUUGCAGAGGUUUGCGCCGCCUGAGGCGCGAGACGUAAGCAUGGGAACAGAUAAACCUGCUCUGUGGAUGCUCUUCUGCUCCUGGCUUUGCUUGGGGGCAGCGGGGAGGAGGGAUCUGGUUUUGCUGUGGGUUUUUUU